UGUCCAGAAUAGGAAGCCAGUGAUUCAGAAUGUUGCUUUGACUCAAAUCCUCUACUUUUAGUGUCCCUACUUUCAUUCUUUUCAGAUUAGAAGGGGAUUAAAAAUAGAUACCACACAAGAAAUAAAGUAAUAUAACUAUGUAACACAUAAGGAUUGUACUGGCCAGUGUAGGCUAAAUUAUAAUGCAAUUAAUGGACAUUCCCUAAAUACCUGUUUAAAACAACUAAGACGUUUCCUUUUACUCUACAGAUCCAACAUGGGCCAGCUGAGACUCUCCAUUGCUUCAGAGUCCUUAGGGACUCAGGGCUUUGGUCUCAGGCUGAGAUUUCACCAUCAACUUUCCGGCUCUCAGGCCUUUGGACUUGGACUGAACCAUACUAUUGGAUUCCAUGGUUCUCCAGCUUGUAGAGGCCUAUUUUAGGGCUUCUCAGUCUCCACAGUGGUAUGAACUAAUUUCUAUAAUAAACCCUCCCUUAUCCAUAUUAAAAUAUAAUUUGAUUUUAAAAA